rnacentral:rRNA from 1 species
AGUGAACGCUGGCGGUAGGCCUAACACAUGCAAGUCGAACGGCAGCACAGUAAGAGCUUGCUCUUACGGGUGGCGAGUGGCGGACGGGUGAGGAAUACAUCGGAAUCUACUUUUUCGUGGGGGAUAACGUAGGGAAACUUACGCUAAUACCGCAUACGACCUACGGAUGAAAGCAGGGGAUCUUCGGACCUUGCGCGAUUGAAUGAGCCGAUGUCGGAUUAGCUAGUUGGCGGGGUAAAGGCCCACCAAGGCGACGAUCCGUAGCUGGUCUGAGAGGAUGAUCAGCCACACUGGAACUGAGACACGGUCCAGACUCCUACGGGAGGCAGCAGUGGGGAAUAUUGGACAAUGGGCGCAAGCCUGAUCCAGCCAUACCGCGUGGGUGAAGAAGGCCUUCGGGUUGUAAAGCCCUUUUGUUGGGAAAGAAAAGCAGCAGGUUAAUACCCCGCUGUUCUGACGGUACCCAAAGAAUAAGCACCGGCUAACUUCGCG